GACCUGCAGUUUCUCCUGGUAACGCAGCAAAAUGUACGGACACAACCAAGGCCCACCUGGUUACCCGAACUAUCCUCCGCAGGGGGGUUGCCCUCCGCAGGGGGGUUACCCUCCACAGGGUUGUCCUCCAGGGACUGUCCCACCAACCUGUCCUCCUCAGCACCAUGGGCCACAUGGAGGACACGGACAUGGGCACGGACCUGGUUCUGGUUGUUGUCAAGGCCAAGGAUCCUGCCAAGGGCACGGGCACGGACAUGGACAUGGACACGGACAUGGACAUGGACAUGGACAUGGACACAAGGACAAGAAAAAGGACAAGAAAAAGGACAAACAUAAGCACAAGCACGGUCACAAGCAUGGCCACUGUCACAAGAAAGGAAAGGACAGCCACGGGUCUUCCAGCAGCUCCUGCAGCAGCGACUCCGACUAGAUGGACAAAACCCGGAAACCUUCAUGCUCCUGUCUCAUCAUCUUGAGCUUUAACACAGUUUUGCUUAAAAAAAAAAAUCAGUCCAGCUUUUGUCAGAAAAUAAUAAUAAUCUAAACUUUGAUGGAUACCAAAUUAAUCAUCUGUCAAGUUACUUUAGAUCAUUGUGAGCUUUAACAAGCAUUAUUUUAUCCAGUGUUUGUCAGCAAAGAAAUAAAAGUGAUUUCAGUGCCUGGUCAGUUUUUUUUUUUUUAAAUUAAUCUCACCCUGUCUUGUUUUUAUACAAUACCCCAUAUCCCUUUGUUUUUUUUAUUGGUUUUGUUUGACCAUAUAACCAAACUUUAUUUACCCAGGUGACUGAACUCAUUUGAUCAGCCACACCUUGCUCACAGCGGUGCUCCACACCCUGAAACUGCCACUGUUGUGACUCUUAUCUCAUGAUAGCUUUUGCAAAUCAGCUGUUUACAUGGAAAAGUUCACAGACCUGCUGCCUCUUGUUUUUGCAUGUAGAAAUGUUACUGAAAGGUGCACACUCACUCUGUGGUGAAGAUGAAUUCAUUCUUUAUUUAAGCAGAAAAACUGCUUAAUGUAAAUAUAAUUUGAAGUUUAACACACAAAGUAUUAGCAGAAAAAACCCCAAAUUGAUUCCACCUUAAUGUGCUUAUUUUUUUUCUUGUUGCAAAGAUAACUGUGUGUACAGUACACCCAGGGCUACUUUGAUAUUUAAAUCAUAUUUUUAAAGUUGUUCGUAUAGUUGGUUUGCAAAGAUAUGUCUUUAAAGGAGCCUCAGUAGAUAAAACUCAAGCCAAUGCUAGGAAUACUUUGUCUCUAUCCUCAAAAUUCAAUUUGUUUCUCACGACAGCGUUGCUCUGGGUGCUCACAGGUUAAUAAUUAAGGAUUUAUUAUGUCUGGAAAAUAUACUCAGACUUGUGGGUUUUACUGUGCUUUCUCAUGAAUAAGGGGCUGACCAAUUUUAGCUUUUGUUUGUUUUAUUUUAUUAAAUUCACUUGUGUUUUGUUGAUGGGUCAUGUCGCCAUGAGUUAUAAUGCGGAGAUGUUGGUUUAAACAAACAAAUAAUGAGUAUUUAUUUGGUGUUAAGCAAAAAAAUCUAUGAAGCAGGAAUGCACAGACUGAAAACAGGGAAACCAACAGUGAUUUGGUGAAGAGCAACGGGUAGGCCAGACUACGUGGACACAGGGAGUGAAGUAAACAGUAAACAACUGAUAACAACAGGAGGGAGGAGGGAAAAGGAAUCUAGAUGCCAAAAAACACCUAAUGUUUGGCAUAAAACAGCAAAUAAACCAAACAGCAACUGACACUAAAGAGUUAGAGACAGGAAAGCUCAACAUAACUAGAGUGGUAAUAAAAUCAAAACCAGAGCCAGAAACAAAACCCUGGAACUACGACACAUGAUAUCAGACAUGCAAAAAUUCACUUAGCUUGUUUAAAGCACACAAAAGCAGACAAAGAGGCAGAUUAUCGGGUUCCAACAAAGGAGAGGCAGGUAUUACUCACAAAAAAUACUUACUUGUGCAAACCCAGCACUUUUGGACAAAGCAGUUCUCCAGUGACUUUAUUAAUAAAGAGACCUCAUUGAUGCGUCAUUUCGGGUGAACAUCAAUGAGGGUGAACAUUUUCCUUAUUAAUGAAUUAUCUGAAUUAAAAAAAACCUUUUUAUAUAUUUUAGUUGCUUUAAGUCAAAUUUUUUGCUUUUUUCUGGUUUAUUGAAGGUGCAGAAUCAUGUUUGAGUUCAGGCUCAAUGCUUCUGCAUAUAAAAUCAAUUUGGUGCGUAAUAUAAGUUUUUAGUACCACAUGUUACCCAUUCCAGCUGUGGAGAGACUAGCACAUCUGUAUUUCUUUACUAGAAUGUUCUCUGUGUUUCUCUUAAUCUGGGCCUUUGAGUCUGUAAUAAAUAUGUGUGUCAUCUUCAGUCGCCAGCAGGUGGCGGUGUGGCACAAACACACCGCGGAGAGACGCUCUGGCGUCACCGACACCCACCAAUCAGCGGGAGCUCAUCCCCGCUUCCAGGAAGUAAACGUAGAAACCCGAGGCUGUAGAGGUUCUGCUAUUGACCCCGC
rnacentral:lncRNA from 1 species